rnacentral:rRNA from 1 species
GACGAACGCUGGCGGCGUGCUUAACACAUGCAAGUCGAGCGGUAAGGCCCUUUCGGGGGUACACGAGCGGCGAACGGGUGAGUAACACGUGGGUGACCUGCCCUCAGCUCUGGGAUAAGCCUGGGAAACCGGGUCUAAUACUGGAUAUGACUCCAUGACGCAUGUUGUGGGGUGGAAAGCCUUGUGCGGCUGAGGAUGGGCCCGCGGCCUAUCAGCUUGUUGGUGGGGUGANGGCCUACCAAGGCGACGACGGGUAGCCGGCCUGAGAGGGCGACCGGCCACACUGGGACUGAGACACGGCCCAGACUCCUACGGGAGGCAGCAGUGGGGAAUCUUGCGCAGUGGGCGAAAGCCUGACGCAGCGACGCCGCGUGAGGGAUGACGGCCUCGGUGUAAC